GCCUCCUUAGCUCAGCUGGUUAGAGCGGCUGUUUCGUAAAUAGCAGGUCGUGGGUUCAAAUCCCAUGGGAGGCUCCA
rnacentral:tRNA from 1 species